rnacentral:ncRNA from 1 species
GGUUAAGCGAAAAGAGCACAGGGUGAAUGCCCAGGCACUGAGAGCUGAAGAAAGACGUGAUAAGCUGCGAAAAGCGGCGGGGAUUGGCAAAUACGAGGUGAUCCGCCGAUAUCUGAAUGGGGAAACCCACCGGAGUAACCCUCCGGUACCGCAGGGUAAAUCCAUAGCCAUGCGGAGGGAACCCGCCGAACUGAAACAUCUCAGUAGGCGGAGGAAGAGAAAACAACCGUGAUUCCGAGAGUAGCGGCGAGCGAAAUCGGAGGAGCCCAAACCGCGGUGCGUGCACCGCGGGGUAAGGACCGCGAAAAAGUUCGAAGAGGGAGUGGAAGCGCGCUGGAAAGCGCCGCCAUAGAGGGUGAGAGCCCCUUACACGAAGCUUGAAGAAUGGCGCGGGAUCCGGAGUACUGUCAGACACGUGGAAGCUGGCAGGAAGGAGGGGGGACCACCCCCCAAGGCUAAAUACUACUCAGUGACCGCUAGCGAGAGUACUGUGAAGGAAAGGUGAAAAGGACCCCGGGAGGGGAGUGAAAGAGAACCUGAAACCCUGUGUUUACAAGCUGUGGAAGGACGAAAGUCCGACCGCGUACUUUUUGUAGAACGGUCCGGCGAGUUAUCGCUGCCGGCAAGGUUAAGGAUUUAAGGUCCGGAGCCGAAGCGAAAGCGAGUCUUAAAAGGGCGAAAAGUCAGCAGAGAUA